rnacentral:tRNA from 1 species
GGUGAGGUGGCCGAGUGGCUGAAGGCGCACGCCUGGAAAGUGUGUAUACGUUAAUAGCGUAUCGAGGGUUCGAAUCCCUCUCUCACCGCCA